GUGGCCUACGGGGGGCAGCAGUGAGGAAUAUUGGUCAAUGGGCGGGAGCCUGAACCAGCCAAGUCGCGUGAGGGACGACGGUCCUAUGGAUUGUAAACCUCUUUUGUCGGGGAGCAAGACCCGCCUCGUGCAGGCGGAGCGAGAGUACCCGAAGAAAAAGCAUCGGCUAACUCCGUGCCAGCAGCCGCGGUAAUACGGAGGAUGCGAGCGUUAUCCGGAUUUAUUGGGUUUAAAGGGUGCGUAGGCGGGACGGUAAGUCAGCGGUAAAAAUGCGGAGCUCAACUCCGUCGAG
rnacentral:rRNA from 1 species